GUAUAUAUACAUGUGUAUAUAUAUGUGUGUGUGUAUAUAUAUACACACACAUAUACAUACACAUAUAUAUACGUAUAUAUAUAUACACACACAUAUAUACAUACACAUAUAUACGUA
rnacentral:miRNA from 1 species